CCUACAGGAGGCAGCAGUGAGGAAUAUUGGUCAAUGGGCGCGAGCCUGAACCAGCCAAGUCGCGUGAGGGAAGACGGCCCUACGGGUUGUAAACCUCUUUUGCCGGGGAGCAACGGGCGCCACGUGUGGCGCCACUGAGAGUACCCGGAGAAAAAGCAUCGGCUAACUCCGUGCCAGCAGCCGCGCUAAGUCGGAGGAUGCGAGCGUUAUCCGGAUUUAGUGGGUGUAAGGGGGGCGUAGGCGGAACGUUAAGUCAGUGGUAAAAUUGAGGGGCUAAACCCCUUCCCGCCAUUGAAACUGGCGCUCUUGAGUGGAAGAGAAGUAUGCGGAAUGCGUGGUGUAGCGGUGAAAUGCAUAGAUAUCACGAAGAACCCCGAUUGCGAAGGCAGCAUGCCGGCUUCCGACUGACGCUGAAGCACGAAAGCGUGGGGAUCGAACAGGAUUAGAUACCCUGGUAGUC
rnacentral:rRNA from 1 species